rnacentral:rRNA from 1 species
ACUGAGAUCGGGAGAGGUCGAGAGGUACUCCUGGGGUAGGGGGUGGAAAUACCUCGUAAUCCUAGGAGGACCACCUGUGGCGAAGGCGUCUGACUAGAACGAAUCUGACGGUGAGGAACGAAAGCUAGGGCGCGAACCGGAUUAGAUACCCGGGUAGUCCUAGCCGUAAACUAUGCGGACUUGGUGUGAGGGUGGCUUUGAGCCGUCCUGGUGCCGAAGGGAAGCUGUUAAGUCCGCCGCCUGGGAAGUACGGUCGCAAGACUGAACUUAAAGGAAUUGGCGGGGAGCACCACAACGCGUGGAGCCUGCGGUUUAAUUGGAUUCAACGCCGGAGAUCUCACCAGCGGCGACAGCAGUAUGAUGACCAGGUUGAUGACUUUGUUUGACAAGCUGAGAGGAGGUGCAUGG